rnacentral:rRNA from 1 species
AUGAACGCUGGCGGCGUGCCUCACCCAUGCCCGUCGAGCGGCAGCGAGGGGUGCUUGCACCCUGUCGGCGAGCGGCGGACGGCUGAGUAACGCGUGGGAACGUGCCCCAAAGUGAGGAAUAACUGCCCGAAAGGGUAGCUAAUACCGCAUAUUAUCUUCGGAUCAAAGGAUUUAUCCGCUUUGGGAGCGGCUCGCGUCGGAUUAGGUAGUUGGUGAGGUAAUGGCUCACCAAGCCGACGAUCCGUAGCUGGUCUGAGAGGAUGACCAGCCAGACUGGAACUGAGACACGGUCCAGACUCCUACGGGAGGCAGCAGUGAGGAAUCUUCCACAAUGGGCGAAAGCCUGAUGGAGCAACGCCGCGUGCAGGACGAAGGCCUUCGGGUUGUAAACUGCUUUUAUAAGUGAGGAAUAUGACGGUAACUUAUGAAUAAGGAUCGGCUAACUACGUG